rnacentral:rRNA from 1 species
UGGGGAAUAUUGCACAAUGGGGGAAACCCUGAUGCAGCGACGCCGCGUGGAGGAUGAAGGUCUUCGGGUUGUAAACUCCUUUUCUUGGGAAAGAUAAUGACGGUACCCAAGGAAUAAGCCACGGCUAACUCUGUGCCAGCAGCCGCGGUAAGACAGAGGUGGCGAGCGUUGUUCGGAAUUACUGGGCUUAAAGGGCGAGUAGGCGGUGGAGCAAGUCUGAGGUGGAAUCUUAGGGCUUAACCCUAAAACUGCCUUAGAAACUGUUUUACUUGAGUCAGUGAGGGGAGGGCGGAAUUCCUGGUGUAGCGGUGAAAUGCGUAGAUAUCAGGAGGAAGGCCUGUGGCGAAGGCGGCCCUCUGGCACUGUACUGACGCUGAGGCGCGAAAGCGUGGGGAGCAAACAGG